GUGUAUUCCUUUCAAUAGCACAUAUAUGAAAAUUGGAGUGAUACAGAGAUUAGCAUGGUCCUUGAACAAAGAUGACAUGCAAAGUUGUGAAGUGUUCCGUAUUUAA